GAUGAACGCUGGCGGCGUGCUUAACACAUGCAAGUCGAACGGUGAAGGCGGAGCUUGCUCUGCUGGAUCAGUGGCGAACGGGUGAGUAACACGUGAGCAAUCUGCCCCUGACUCUGGGAUAAGCGCUGGAAACGGCGUCUAAUACUGGAUACGAGCUGCGAAGGCAUCUUCAGCAGCUGGAAAGAAUUUCGGUCAGGGAUGAGCUCGCGGCCUAUCAGCUUGUUGGUGAGGUAAUGGCUCACCAAGGCGUCGACGGGUAGCCGGCCUGAGAGGGUGACCGGCCACACUGGGACUGAGAGACGGACCAGACUCCUACGGGAGGCAGCAGUGGGGAAUAUGACACAGUGGGCGAAAGCCUGAUGCAGCGACGCCGCGUGAGGGACGACGGCCUUCGGGUUGUAAACCUCUUUUAGCAGGGAAGAAGCGAAAGUGACGGUACCUGCAGAAAAAGCGCCGGCUAACUACGUG
rnacentral:rRNA from 1 species